UAAGUACUUCCUCUGAUCCUAAAUUUUGUUGUCGAAAUAUUACAUGUAUCUAGACACUUUUUAAGAAUAGAUACAUCCAUAUUUGGACAAAUUUGAAUCAAGAAUUUAGGAUCAGAGGGAGUAUAAU
rnacentral:pre_miRNA from 1 species